GAAAACUUCUGAAGCAUAGAUAUGCCGUGUGAUGUGAUUAAAAUCAUACUUAUUUUACUGUGGUGGGGAUUAUUAUGAGCAAACAAAUUUAAAAGUUUAAUCUGAACACUAUAUAUAUGUAAUCUGACAUUUAUUUAUUUUAUUUUUUUACAGAAAUUCUGAGCUGCUGCAUGAACAUUCAUCAAACAUAUAAGGCUGCAAUUUGGAAAAAAACUUUCAAGCUAAUGCUGCUGAAAUGGAGGUCAAGGGGACUAUGAAGAGGUGGCUCUAGCUGGCAGAUCAAAAGGGUGGACUUCAGGAGGCAGACACACUCUGUUACAAUAAUCAGCUGAUCCAGUCGGUAUCCAGACCAGACGGUGGACCUGCACCCAGGAGCGACCACAACACAUCCCUGACUGUCAGCGGAGACCAUGUCAGCUAGAUGACAGAUCCCUGUGAAGACCUCACUGAUGGCCUCAGCACAGAUCCUCAGCAAAGACUACGAGAACCAGACAAGCCCUCUGCACAGACCCUUUUACCAGCUUCACCUGCUGACGUGAUGUUUCCUCAUGCAGAAGAAGUUGGACGAAAUAUUCUGAAUGAUAUCAAUCCACAAUCUGACUUGUGAUGCAGCCUGGAAUAAUCACACCACGUUCAUUCGUUUGGCCAGAGGAGACUGUUUCCUGACUGAGCCGGGUCUUGUUUGGGUUUGGGUUCCUUGUCACUGUUGCCUUUUGUCUUGCUUGGUUGAAGACACCUAAUAUUCAGCAAUAUUAUUGACUUGACUGCACUGACACCAUUUGAUAAGAACUGAACUGAAUUAUGACACACAAUGUUUUAUAUAUGAAGUUUAUUUGCAAAAACGGAUAACGGAUAAAAUUUUGUUUUUUGUUUUGUUUUAUUGUGUUAGUUAGCUAGUAUUUAUUAGUUAUU